AUCUGGCGUGCUCAGUGCGUCCGAGUUGUAAUCUAUAGAGGCGUUUUCCGUGCCGGACUGUGUCCAAGUCCCUUGGAACAGGGUAUCAAAGAGGGUGAUAAUCCCGUACUUGACACAAUGACCGGUGCUCUGUGAUACGUCUUCUACGAGUCGAGUUGUUUGGGAAUGCAGCUCAAAAUGGGUGGUGAGUUCCAUCUAAAGCUAAAUAUUGGCGAGAGACCGAUAGCGAACAAGUACCGUGAGGGAAAGAUGAAAAGCACUUUGGAAAGAGAGUUAAACAGUACGUGAAAUUGUUGAAAGGGAAACGAUUGAAGUCAGUCGUGACUGAGAGGCUCAGCCGGUUCUGCCGGUGUAUUCCCCUCAGUCGGGUCAACAUCAGUUUUGUCCGGUGGAUAAGGGCAGUUGGAAGGUGGCACCCUCGGGUGUGUUAUAGCCAGCUGUCGCAUACAUCGGAUGAGACUGAGGAAUGCAGCUCGCCUUUAUGGCCGGGGUUCGCCCACGU
rnacentral:rRNA from 1 species